ensembl:snoRNA Small nucleolar RNA SNORA68
UCCGCACGCAAACCCAAAGGUCGUUAACUCGACACGUGUGAUGACCUACGCUACACGUGCGCAGAGAAACCAGAACCUCGUCGCCUUUUAUUGGCUCCUCGUGCCAGUAGAUGUGAAAUUGAGGUCCGACAUUC